rnacentral:snoRNA from 1 species
CAACCAUUUAAACUGAAUGGAGAUUUUUACGCAGGGGUCACUGAAAACAUUUAGAAACUGCAAACAGAGGUGCUGACAGCAAACAGAUCUUAUCACAUUUGAGGGGCUGGGUUGUGCCUCUUAGAGUGAAUUUAGAGGUUCUACAUUG